AAUGGCUUCCACAUGUUUUAAUACUUGAUGCAGGAACGACGAUUAGCUGGAGGGCUUUUUCUUUCCAUGUGUUAUUCUUCCACCGUGGCUGAGGAGUAGCUUUAAACUCUUUGCAGAAUCACAACAAUGUUUCGCUCCUCGGAUCCUGUGGCAUCCGACUGCUUGGGUCACUUGAAACUUGGCUGCAAGAACACACUGCAGGGAGCAAUGCUGAACAGGCAGGGAACGAGAACAUGCCAAGGCGAGAGCAGAAGGAAAGGAGUCUGGAAUAGAGGAAAGUUCACUCAUCUGACAUAAGACGAAGGACUCUGUGAAAAUCAGGCAUCAACUUCAGAUUACACAUAAUGAAUUCAAACUACAGAUUGCAU